UUAACCAGUUGACGUUUGUAGUGAUGCCAUGUUUUAUUUGAGGUAGGAACUGAAUUUUCUGCGUUCCAUGACAUCAGACUAACAUCUGUUCUUAUCAAGGUCCAUUCUCUUCUGCUUCUGUUUAUAAGGGAGCAACAAAAGAGCAUUAAAAGUUGGCACUCAUGAGUGAAUAUCGAGAAACAGUAACAGAGUUAAUGCACCAGAAUUGUUGCACAAUGCACACAUUUCCUAACUUGUUAAAUUUUAUAAGCAUUUAAACACAAUUAAUAAAUUCUCCUGAAAACAUUGCUAAUAAACUAAUAUGCACUAAGGAUACAUAAAGUAUCGUGUAUGGUAGAACCUGCACUGUUUCUAGGGGACUGAAACAUAUCUAAAGUAUGUCAAAGUAAAGAAAACUAUGAAGGAGUCUUUUUGAAAUUAUUGUGUUACAUUAAUGAAUUUUUAUAUUGCAGUUAGCUGUAGAUAUGCAUUUUACAACAAAAAAAGAAUGUAGUGCAGAAAACACAUUUUUAUCACAAGGUCUUCCCAGAGAAGCCGGGUGGGAACUCUUGACCUCUGCUUCUAAAUAUGGUCAAUAUUACAAUUUUUUUCUUUUUUGCAGGAAUUGCAGGACAGUUUGUACCCUGCAGCUCUUUACCUAACUGAGCUGAAGCCUGGAGAAGAAUUUUAUCAUGAUCUGAAUAAUCCUCUUACUCGCCCUUGUGUACCCUGUGAAAUCCUGUUUGUUGUUGGUGGCUGCAGCCUUGGUCGGCCCACAAAUGUAAUGGAAAUGUAGGACACAAGGAGGGUAAAGUAAAGCUGUGAUUCUACAUACCAUGUUCGCGUUGGGGGGAGGGGGAAGAAGUAUAACUGCAACUCAUUCUUGACCUCUGCACUAGAUGAAGGUCAGUGGUCAACGUGGUUUACCCGUGGGAAAAGGACCCCAGUCACCCAUUCGAUAGGACGUUGGGGCAGGCAGAUGGUUCUUCUCUGCUGAUACUGAUGCUGCAUCCCGAGCCUAUCAUGCUCUGUGUGUAUAAUCUCAUUUACAUGAUUGGAGGUUUCGAUGGGAAGGAAUAUUUUAACGCGGUACAUCGCUACAACCCGGUAACUUGGGAAUGGAAGGAGCGUGCAUAUCUAUUAUAACUUCUAUCUAUCUAUUCAAAUGGUUGUUAAUAUUCCAGUUAGUAUAUACAGUAACUAGAUUCUGAAUAACCAUAAAACAGGCCUCAUUUGCCAUGCAGAAGAUUUCCAUUCACUUAUACACACAUCAAAGAGGGUUAUUCCUGCCAGCAUCUGUGCAAAUAAUCUUGCUGACUCUUGUGUCCUGCAUUAAACAUACUGUUCACUGUAUGUGGAACACUGCAUCAAUGGAGAAUUAGUACAUUUUAGUUAUUAAGAUUUAAUUUAUCAUGCAGCUGACCAGUUGUCUUCAAAUGUAUUCUCUGAGGAUAUACUGGUAGCACACAGCAAGAGUCUGGUUGGUUAUUUAUGUUUGUGUUGAAUCCUUAACUAGAAACAAUGAACUGUGAUAAUUUUUUGGAUUAGUGUGUAAGCUUGGUGCCAUAUAUACAGGAAGUCUCAGAAUGAGUGUUCUCACUUUAAACAUUUUUAUUGAGAAAAUAAACAGAACUGGGAGAGUACAGUCCUCACCACGUGAAACAGCAACUUAGGAAGUUUUUUUCACCGUCUUGCUCCACUUCACUGCAUUUUGACUUGAGCUCUCUUUGUUGCUCGCACAAUAUCCAUCUGGUAUUCAAAAGCCUGGAAAGUGUUGCCACACAUUUGAGGCGUAAUUCUUUCAACAAACUUGAUGAUGAAGUUUUUCACAUCUUGCAAACAAGUGACUCGUGUGCGGUACACGUGGUCAUUUGUGUACCCCUAAAGGAAUAAAUCCAUGGAUGUUAAUUCCGGCGAUCAUGCAACAAGCCCACCUCUUCCAUUCUAUCUUACAGGAUAAGUUGUGAGUUACUGUUUCAUGGGGUUAAGACUGUAUGCUCCUAGUUCUGUUUAUUUUCUCAAUAAAAAUGUUAAAAGUGUCUACACUCAUUCUUAGUUGCUGAUAAUUUUAUCAAAAGAUGGAAAUCCUAUUAUUGUUGCAUUCAUAUAUUUUGUUAACAUGUCAUUUGUACAAUGAAGAUCCUCAUCUUAAUCAUAAUAACCUGUUACAUGACCAGACAGUUGGUCUGUGAUGUGUUGACACAGUCAAUUAACAGUAGUAUGCAAAUAUUAUUUCACAGUCCUUCUAUCAGAAACUAAAUGAAGGGGGGAGUUAAAGCUGAUGCAGUGAUUUUUGCUCACUGAGAUAACCUGUUUAUGUACAGCCAGCAGACCUACUGAGCAAUAACAAAUCCUCACUCCCCACUCAUUUGACAUUGUCAUUACUUUGUGAUUGAUGAGAGUCUGAUGUGCUGAUAUGUUGCAAGGUCUGAUCUAACAUUUAAAUGAUCCAUUGUCAUUUAAGAUGCCACCAUUUUAGUCUAGAAUACAUUCGCAAAGAUGUCAGAGCUUGGAUAUAGGGGAAAACUUUUAUGAAUUUAUGAUGAAAGAAGCAGAAAGAAAAAUUAAUGGAAGUGACUACAAAUUUUAUAAUUAAUUACAGCAUUUGCAAAGAAGAGUCCAAGAAAUGGAGAUAUGUAGAAGGUCCCUUAGAAGGAUAAUAAAUUGAGAAGAACAUAAGAAAAAAGGAAAUUCAUUUGGACUUCUAUAAAUAAGCAUAAUGUCCCAAAGAUAAAGAUAAACAACAAAAAUGUAGACGCAAAAAAUGAGCAUAUCUACACAUGAAAUGGAAGUGACCAAUUCAUACACAUUAACUUAGCAAACCUCUGAAGUUGUCCUUUAUUUAAAGGCAUUGUAUACCAGUUGUGAUAGUGCAGUUUUAUUCAUUGCUCUGUACAACAUUGCGUUAUGAUUUCCAGCUGUAUGUAUUUACCAAUAUUGACCCAAUAAAGGCUAUUAAAGUCAAGCUGUCCCGCUACGUACCAUGGAGGUAGGGGAGGCAAACCAAUAGACCGUGAGACCGGCUGCCUCAAGUUCAGUUCUUGGGAAUGAUGAAAGAAUGCUGCCCCACUCUGUAUAAUGUAAUAAAUUGCAAAUACUUUCCAGAGUACUGAAAAGAUAAUAAAUAUUUCAUACCAGAAAUGUACUGCAGUGUAAAAAUUUAUGUCCUUACAUUCUGAAUUAAUUCUUUUGUAUUAACAUUAAAAGGGGUAAAUAUUGUCCAUAGAAAGUGUAAAGAAAAUGUUGCAUUGACUAGUUAUGCUACAGAAGCUUUACAGUUACAUUGACAUAUUCUGUAGUAAAAUGGUACCUGAAUUCAUAAUUCUGGAAUUCUGAUUAAUGUAUGUUCUAUAUAAAUGAUCUUUUAAAGCC